CCUACGGGAGGCAGCAGUGAGGAAUAUUGGUCAAAGGACGAGAGUCUGAACCAGCCAAGUAGCGUGAAGGAUGACUGCCCUAUGGGUUGUAAACUUCUUUUAUAUGGGAAUAAAAUGUUCCACGUGUGGGAUUUUGUAUGUACCAUAUGAAUAAGGAUCGGCUAACUCCGUGCCAGCAGCCGCGGUAAUACGGAGGAUCCGAGCGUUAUCCGGAUUUAUUGGGUUUAAAGGGAGCGUAGGUGGAUUGUUAAGUCAGUUGUGAAAGUUUGCGGCUCAACCGUAAAAUUGCAGUUGAAACUGGCAGUCUUGAGUACAGUAGAGGUGGGCGGAAUUCGUGGUGUAGCGGUGAAAUGCUUAGAUAUCACGAAGAACUCCGAUUGCGAAGGCAGUUCACUGGACUGCAACUGACACUGAGGCUCGAAAGUGUGGGUAUCAAACAGGAUUAGAUACCCGAGUAGUC
rnacentral:rRNA from 1 species